rnacentral:rRNA from 1 species
UACGUAGGGCGCGAGCGUUAAUCGGAAUAAUUGGGCGUAAAGGGUGCGCAGGCGGUCAGUUAAGACGGAUGUGAAAGCCCCGGGCUCAACCUGGGAAUGGCAUACGUGACUGGCUUACUAGAAUAUGGCAGAGGGAGGUAGAAUUCCACAUGUAGCAGUGAAAUGCGUAGAUAUGUGGAGGAACACCGAUGGCGAAGGCAGCCUCCUGGGUUAAUAUUGACGCUCAGGCACGAAAGCGUGGGGAGCAAACAGG